UGGGGAAUAUUGCACAAUGGGCGAAAGCCUGAUGCAGCGACGCCGCGUGAGGGAUGACGGCCUUCGGGUUGUAAACCUCUUUCGCUCAUGGUCAAGCCGCAACAGUGGUUGUGGUGAGGGUAGUGGGUAAAGAAGCGCCGGCUAACUACGUGCCAGCAGCCGCGGUAAUACGUAGGGCGCGAGCGUUGUCCGGAAUUAUUGGGCGUAAAGGGCUUGUAGGCGGUUGGUCGCGUCUGCCGUGAAAUCCUCUGGCUUAACUGGGGGCGUGCGGUGGGUACGGGCUGACUUGAGUGCGGUAGGGGAGACUGGAACUCCUGGUGUAGCGGUGGAAUGCGCAGAUAUCAGGAAGAACACCGGUGGCGAAGGCGGGUCUCUGGGCCGUUACUGACGCUGAGGAGCGAAAGCGUGGGGAGCGAACAGGAUUAGAUACCCUGGUA
rnacentral:rRNA from 1 species